UAAAAGGGUCGGUUGGCUAAAUAUGCCACUCUCACCCUAGCUUGGUGAGUGCCGUAUGGAUAUCAAGACAUAUGGCCGACAUAAUUUGUGGGACCCCAUAGGGUUGGCUCGCUUUGGCUGACCCUCCC
rfam:Prunus persica cultivar Lovell chromosome G1, whole genome shotgun sequence.